UGGGGAAUCUUGCACAAUGGGGGAAACCCUGAUGCAGCGACGCCGCGUGAGCGAUGAAGGUUUUCGAAUCGUAAAGCUCUGUCCUAUGGGAAGAUAAUGACGGUACCAUAGGAGGAAGCCCCGGCUAACUACGUGCCAGCAGCCGCGGUAAUACGUAGGGGGCGAGCGUUGUCCGGAAUUACUGGGCGUAAAGGGUUCGCAGGCGGCAUGACAAGUCCGGUGUAAAAGGCGAAAGCUCAAAUUUCGUAAGCAUCGGAAACUGUCAAGCUUGAGUGAAGGAGAGGCAAGUGGAAUUCCUAGUGUAGCGGUGGAAUGCGUAGAUAUUAGGAGGAAUACCGGUGGCGAAGGCGACUUGCUGGACUUCAACUGACGCUGAGGAACGAAAGCGUGGGUAGCAAACAGG
rnacentral:rRNA from 1 species